CCUUAGAAAAAAGUAAUUUUUAAGAAUAAACCGAUUUGAAUCAGUCUAUUUUCCAUAUAUUUUCAGUUUUCUAAUAAAUCCAAUGCUUAAGUUACAAUUUACGAUCUAUAUAAUAUUCUUUAUAAUUAAUUUUUAAUAUUGUUUAUCUACAAUUCGUAUUUUUAAGGGUAAUCUCUGAAGACAGUAUACAGACGUAACUUUUUUUUACAGAUAUGUAAUAAUACAGUGAAGAGAGCUUGCUAUGAAGAAGAAAGGAGAAUACAUCACGUAAAAUGGAACGAAAUAAGGAUAAUUUAUCUUUUGGGGACGUGUACGGGCCAUAUUGUAAGAAAACCUCACCGAUUGUACCCUGCUUUUCAAUGAAACUGUGUGCCUAAUAAGAGUAAACCUGGAGCAAGAAUAUUGGAAUCAACAAAACCAAUGCGAGAUGAUUUCUGCUUUCAAAUAGUUUCUGCAAAUACGUCUUUCAAAAAUUAUACUCUCGGACAUUCAAAUCCAUGGACUCUAUGCUGUACCCCCCAAACCUGAUUUUUCUUUGAUAUAAAGAUAACUUGAAAAUACUCUUUUGGAGUAUUAUUGUUAUGAAGAUAUGUUUGCAGAGGAUAAGAAAUAUAUGCGAGUUACUGGAAACAUGAGCAUCCAUGCAGUAUUUAUCAGAAAGAAAAUUUAAUAGAAAAAUCAAGAAUCCAUCCAAGUGAAUUGUAUUAAUAGUGGUCUUUUUCUAAUAAAUCAUAAUAAAGUUUU